UACCCGCAGCCCAAGUGGUGGUCGCGAUUAUUGGGCCUAAAGCGCUCGUAGCCGGGUUGGCAAGUCCCUUGUGAAAUCGGGCGGCCCAACCGUUCGGCUGGCAAGGGAUACUGCCAGCCUUGAGGCCGGGAGACGUCAGGGGUACUCCGGGGGUAGCGGUGAAAUGCUCUGAUCCUCGGGGGACCACCAGUGGCGAAGGCGCCUGACGAGAACGGACCUGACGGUGAGGGGCGAAGGCUAGGGGAGCGAACGGG
rnacentral:rRNA from 1 species